GGGUUGGCAGACUGGUUCUGUGAAAGAUUGGACAGUGAAGGUUCCUGCUUGGUUACCAUAGCUACCCAACUGUGCUUGAGGUGGAAACAGCUGUGCUAUGAGAGUGACAGUGGCUGUGGCCCGGUAAAACUUUACUGGCAGAGAGACGGCUGGCCUCUGCUGUACACUACCAUCUGUGAGAUGGAGGUAUUCUCCUCCCUGAGUAUCAGACCACCUUCAGAUUUUCGUUCCCAUUUGGAGGUUGUUUCUCUUUUCUGCUCCAAGAAGUGACACAAAAGCUGUAAGGUUUGGUUUUGUUAUAGUUAGUUGAACUUAGGCUGACUAAGGAUCAUUGCCCUGAGUGCAGGGGACAUAAAGGCCAUGAAGGCCAUGGUCAUGUGCAGUCUAGCAGGCAGGCUGGUUUCCCAAGGCAUUAUAAACAUCACCUAGUCUCCCUCAUUAAAAAGGAUCAGAUAUGAGCGUGGUAUUUAAUGUCCUUUGAAGGGAGUUCUAUAAAAAGCCAGUGGAAAAGUUUGCAUGAUCUCAUACAUAGAAUAUUAAAAAAAAAAAAAAAAC
rnacentral:lncRNA from 1 species